rnacentral:lncRNA from 1 species
GAGCUCAAGGAUUGGAGAUCCGUUUCAAUCCUGCCGAGCUCAAGGAUUGCAAUUUCGUGUCAAUCCUGGUCCACAGUCACGAGCUGUAGUACAACAAAAUUCAAUGAUGGUGGGUCGUAGAUGAAUAGUAAAGUUGCAUGCAAAUAUUGCAUAGCCCCAAGACGCAAUAGAAAGAGUGGUGCGCAUCAAUAAUGUUCGAGCGACAAGCUAAAGUUGAUUAGUCGUAGCCUCGGUGAGACCGUAUUGCGUGUCAACAUAGGGUACAGGACACUUCAACUUACAUCCCGAUGAACUUCUUUAAAGAAUGGGUAGUGAGCCCGUAGAAGUAUAAGCAGCAUAAGCAGUAGAUAAUAGUGUAACACGUGACCAGUGUGCUAACACUUCAACCAACACCAUAAAGCAUAAAAGGUGUUCGCAAGUUGGUUGUAUCUAUCUACAUAAUUUUAUGUAAGAAUAGAAUGUUCACAUUUGUGUUAUUUAGCAUAGGAGGGUCUCACUCCUAAUUUAGCUAAAGAAUAGGUUUUCAAAAUGAGCAAUGAGCAUUGCAGGGGCCAAAUGUGACAUCGAGGAAAGGCCGGUGCACCUCAAUUGCUUGAGGAAUUGACCGGAUGACCUCCAGGAAGUUGGAGUCGUGUUCGGGUGACGUCAAUGUCCCCCGGGUCACCACCAUGCUUCAUGGUGAUGCUAGGUCUCGAAUGUCUUCGUUUUGAGCGGAAGAAUGGAUGUCCAUGAGAAUUUCUCAAAAUUUGGAUCAUUAUAUCUCUUCCAGGUUGACCAAUUUAGUUAAACCAAAGCCUAUAUGAGUCAGUGUCCCAAAUAUCAUGUUUGGCGACAACAUGAGAUUCGAUAUUCGAAUCAUAGUGACAUACAGUCCACUAGAUUGACUCAUGAAUUUCUCCAAGAUGCGCUUCAGUCCGCAUUCAUGAGAAGGUAUACACAAAAGAAUUCUUGUUCAUUCUCACAAUGUGUUUUCAAAUGAAAACCAUUAGCAUGAAUGUCUUUAAAGCUCAACAUGGUUCCUUAGAAUGUUGUGGAUAGUUCCACUAUCUGCGAAGCACUCAAUGUCUCUAUGAGACAUAACUACAAGGAGUAGAUAGGCGAGUAAAUAGUUCUACUUGAACCAUUUAGAAGGAUUGAAAGAAGCUACGAAAAGCUGCAAUCC